UACGAAGGGGGCUAGCGUUGCUCGGAAUGACUGGGCGUAAAGGGCGCGUAGGCGGAGUGCUAUGUCGGGCGUGAAAUUCCAGGGCUCAACCUUGGGGCUGCGUUCGAGACGGGCAUUCUAGAGUGUGGAAGAGGGUCGUGGAAUUCCCAGUGUAGAGGUGAAAUUCGUAGAUAUUGGGAAGAACACCGGUGGCGAAGGCGGCGACCUGGUCCAUUUACUGACGCUGAGGCGCGAAAGCGUGGGGAGCAAACAGG
rnacentral:rRNA from 1 species